rnacentral:lncRNA from 1 species
GGAAGAACGAACUCAACUCUAUAAUUUGCACAGUUUCAGUGCCAGUAACUGCCAGCCUCCUGGUUUCACUGUGAUUGCAGGCUAUCGGUUGUCCAGGCUACAGCUGAUCUGGGAAAAGGCAGCAUGGGAACAGGGCAAGUUAAAAUGCCACAAUUCUUAAUGUUCUUACUGAGAUUCAAUGUUUUUCUUGAAUAAAUGCUCCCCAGAUUGCUGCAAGCCUUUGGUUAAUUUCCAGAGUUCUGAAAAAGCUGAUUCUGAUCAUUUUUGCCAAUGUUCUUGAUAUGGUUUGGCUCUGUGUUCCCAUCCAAAUCUCAUGUUGAAUUUUAAUCCCCAAUGUUGGAGGUCUGGCCUGGUGGGAGGUGAUUGGAUCAUGGGGGUUGUUCCUAAUGGUUCAGCACCAUCUCCCUAGUGCUGUCUCAUGAUAGAGUUCUCAUGAGAUCCGGUUAAAAGUGUGUAUCACCUCCCUCUUCGCUGUCUUCCUCCUGCUCCUGCCAUAUAAGACGUGCUUGCUUCCCCUUCACCUUCCGC